rnacentral:lncRNA from 1 species
UAAUGGUUUAUCUGAUGUUCGCCCUCAGGGAGGUGACAAUCACGGGCUAGGAACCAUUCGAGUUGAUGAAGCUCAAGAGAGCAAUAAGCCUGCAAAUAUGGAAAAAAUCACCCAGAAGAACGCUACAUCAGACAGGAUGGAGAUACACUUUUAUAAUACGACAUCCGUGGAAGAAAGCACCACGAGAAAACACGCAAAAGAAGCGGAAGCACUUUCAAAUGCCCCCAAGCUUGCCGUCAAAACCUUUCAUAUUCCUGUCGCUGAUAAGGAAAAUGCGACAUUAGGGACCAGCAAUGAACCUUACGGAGUAAAAUCAAAGGCAGACAACGCGAGGAAACUUUUGCAACUUAUGAACUCAGGACUAAUGGUCAAGGAUACGUAUGGCGGUCCGAAGGCACUUCAAACAGCGGACAACACAGGGCAUCUUCAUAAUGAAUUGCUCCUGAAGCUUGUGGACAAAUUAAAAGAUCAUGAAUCCGAUCGAGAUGAGACGGGCAAAGGUUCAAGAGAGUCGAAAAGUUUCAAGGGGUCGAGGGACGGUUUGAACUCCAAGGCAGGGGUGAACGCGGAGGACUUGAGCGGCAAUUUCAGCGCUGCCCUUUACUCCUGUCUCAUGGACUGGGCCUUCACCUACGAGGGGUUCACUUGCGCUCAAGAUGGGUUCACGACCGUCAUGAACGAUGCUCUGGCCGCGGAGAAAAUUUAUAUUUUUCCCGGAAUCUCCCUGACCAGACACGGCGUUUCAGGCACGGAUGAGAGUGAAGACGAAAACCAGAUGAAAUUGAAAGAAGUCAUGCCAGUGGGUGACUGGCUGGGAAAAAUGUUGCAGAAAAUAGGAACGUUCUUUCGUACGUAUUCGUUGGAUGUCAGCUUGGGAGACUUGGACCUCGAUCUAGAAGGACGUGGACACCACCACUACCGCCGCGUGUUCCCGAUCGUGGUGACGACGUACAUGAUCAUGUCAACGUUUCUGAUCCCGAUGGGCUUCCAGUUCAUGGCCAUGCUCGGCGGCAAGGCCCUCGUCCUCAGCAAACUGGCCUUCCUCUGGAGCUUGCUCGGGGUGUCGCGCCGUAUUUUCCCGUACCCCUACCCGGACGGCUAUGCACCGCCCCACCACGACUUCCAUCAACCAGGGCUAUAUCGCGCUGCCCAUCGAAAGGAUCAUAUCCGCAGUGAAUUCUGCCGUGCUAAGGAAGAACGCCGUAUGAACAUUGGAGAGUUGCCAAAUUUCCCACAAUAAAAUAUUUAUUUUUGAAGAAACUUAUGAAUAAUUUUCCUUGAAAUUUUUAGGAACUUCAGGUGAAAUUGCGAACAAUAAUAUCUGAAAAAUUGGAGCGAAAAUAUUCAUAAGUUUUCCAGAAAAUUAGCGUUUUUCAGAUGAAAUUUGGCAACGCCUGAAAGCUCAUACGGCGUUUUUCCUCAGCAAGGCAGCAUUCCAUGGUCAUGCUCCGUUCUUCGAAGAUUUAAAGAGACUUCUUGCAGUCUCAACCGGGUCAGAUGUAAACUCAUUGAGAUAUUCAAGAGAUUCAACAAAAAUUGUAUCGGAAUCCCUCGCCGAGUCCACCCGCUGUAGAUGGAAGCUGCGAGUGGACCUGAAAAGGCGCCAUCCAGCUUCAGCUCUCAUUUGCAGCGUUCGAACUCAGCAUGAGACUGAACGUAUUCGACUUUCAAAGGUUUUUUUUUUGUGAAGGAAGGCAAAAUAGAAUAGUUUGUUGAACGAUUUAAGGGGCGGAAACAUAUAAUCAUUGCUCUGGAAAAUUUGUAAUUUACGAGACCUUGACCAGCAUUUGCAUGUGGACAAGAAGAGAAGAGUUGUAUUCGUUUUAGUGACUAGUGGGGGCUUUGAAAAAUUUUCGUUAAAAAAAACCAAACAACCACAAAAAACUGUUUGUAAAAUUUUUUAGAUGAAGAUUAUAAUCCAUAAUUGGGAGAGCCCCAUUUCAAUUUUCUUUGAUAGGCUUCAUCCGUACAUUCUUGUCGAAACAUCAAAUCUUUUUCUCACAAAAUUUAAAUAAAGGAAAGUU